rnacentral:rRNA from 1 species
CAGUCGCCACGGUAAUACGGAAGGUCCAGGCGUUAUCCGGAUUUAUUGGGUUUAAAGGGAGCGUAGGCUGGAGAUUAAGUGUGUUGUGAAAUGUAGACGCUCAACGUCUGACUUGCAGCGCAUACUGGUUUCCUUGAGUACGCACAACGUUGGCGGAAUUCGUCGUGUAGCGGUGAAAUGCUUAGAUAUGACGAAGAACUCCGAUUGCGAAGGCAGCUGACGGGAGCGCAACUGACGCUUAAGCUCGAAGGUGCGGGUAUCAAACAGGAUUAGAUACCCGCGUAGUCCCUGUCUCUUAUAC